rnacentral:piRNA from 1 species
UGGUGUUCCAGCAGCAGCGAAGAGGA